rnacentral:rRNA from 1 species
UUAAGCGACUAAGCGUACACGGUGGAUGCCCUGGCAGUCAGAGGCGAUGAAGGACGUGCUAAUCUGCGAAAAGCGUCGGUAAGGUGAUAUGAACCGUUAUAACCGGCGAUGUCCGAAUGGGGAAACCCAGUGCAAUUCGUUGCACUAUCGUUAACUGAAUACAUAGGUUAACGAGGCGAACCGGGGGAACUGAAACAUCUAAGUACCCCGAGGAAAAGAAAUCAACCGAGAUUCCCCAGUAGCGGCGAGCGAACGGGAGCAGCCCAGAGUCUGAAUCAGCUUGUGUUAGUGGAACGGUCUGGAAAGUCCGACGGUACAGGGUGAUAGUCCCGUACACCAAAAUGCACAGGCUGUGAACUCGAAGAGUAGGGCGGGACACGUGGUAUCCUGUCUGAAUAUGGGGGGACCAUCCUCCAAGGCUAAAUACUCCUGACUGACCGAUAGUGAACCAGUACCGUGAGGGAAAGGCGAAAAGAACCCCGGCGAGGGGAGUGAAAAAGAACCUGAAACCGUGUACGUACAAGCAGUGGGAGCACCUUCGGGUGUGACUGCGUACCUUUUGUAUAAUGGGUCAGCGACUUAUAUUCUGUAGCAAGGUUAACCGUAUAGGGGAGCCGCAGGGAAACCGAGUCUUAACUGGGCGUUAAGUUGCAGGGUAUAGACCCGAAACCCGGUGAUCUAGCCAUGGGCAGGUUGAAGGUUGGGUAACACUAACUGGAGGACCGAACCGACUAAUGUUGAAAAAUUAGCGGAUGACUUGUGGCUGGGGGUGAAAGGCCAAUCAAACCGGGAGAUAGCUGGUUCUCCCCGAAAGCUAUUUAGGUAGCGCCUCGUGAACUCAUCUUCGGGGGUAGAGCACUGUUUCGGCUAGGGGGUCAUCCCGACUUACCAACCCGAUGCAAACUACGAAUACCGAAGAAUGUUAUCACGGGAGACACACGGCGGGUGCUAACGUCCGUCGUGAAGAGGGAAACAACCCAGACCGCCAGCUAAGGUCCCAAAGUCAUGGUUAAGUGGGAAACGAUGUGGGAAGGCACAGACAGCCAGGAUGUUGGCUUAGAAGCAGCCAUCAUUUAAAGAAAGCGUAAUAGCUCACUGGUCGAGUCGGCCUGCGCGGAAGAUGUAACGGGGCUAAACCAUGCACCGAAGCUGCGGCAGCGACACUAUGUGUUGUUGGGUAGGGGAGCGUUCUGUAAGCCUGCGAAGGUGUGCUGUGAGGCAUGCUGGAGGUAUCAGAAGUGCGAAUGCUGACAUAAGUAACGAUAAAGCGGGUGAAAAGCCCGCUCGCCGGAAGACCAAGGGUUCCUGUCCAACGUUAAUCGGGGCAGGGUGAGUCGACCCCUAAGGCGAGGCCGAAAGGCGUAGUCGAUGGGAAACAGGUUAAUAUUCCUGUACUUGGUGUUACUGCGAAGGGGGGACGGAGAAGGCUAUGUUAGCCGGGCGACGGUUGUCCCGGUUUAAGCAUGUAGGCUGAUUGUCCAGGCAAAUCCGGAUAAUCAAGGCUGAGGUGUGAUGACGAGGCACUACGGUGCUGAAGUAACAAAUGCCCUGCUUCCAGGAAAAGCCUCUAAGCAUCAGGUAACAUUAAAUCGUACCCCAAACCGACACAGGUGGUCAGGUAGAGAAUACCAAGGCGCUUGAGAGAACUCGGGUGAAGGAACUAGGCAAAAUGGUGCCGUAACUUCGGGAGAAGGCACGCUGGUGUGUAGGUGAAGUCCCUGCGGAUGGAGCUGAGACCAGUCGAAGAUACCAGCUGGCUGCAACUGUUUAUUAAAAAACACAGCACUGUGCAAACACGAAAGUGGACGUAUACGGUGUGACGCCUGCCCGGUGCCGGAAGGUUAAUUGAUGGGGUUAUCCGUAAGGAGAAGCUCUUGAUCGAAGCCCCGGUAAACGGCGGCCGUAACUAUAACGGUCCUAAGGUAGCGAAAUUCCUUGUCGGGUAAGUUCCGACCUGCACGAAUGGCGUAAUGAUGGCCAGGCUGUCUCCACCCGAGACUCAGUGAAAUUGAACUCGCUGUGAAGAUGCAGUGUACCCGCGGCAAGACGGAAAGACCCCGUGAACCUUUACUAUAGCUUGACACUGAACAUUGAGCCUUGAUGUGUAGGAUAGGUGGGAGGCUUUGAAGCGUGGACGCCAGUCUGCGUGGAGCCAACCUUGAAAUACCACCCUUUAAUGUUUGAUGUUCUAACGUUGGCCCCUGACCGGGGUUGCGGACAGUGUCUGGUGGGUAGUUUGACUGGGGCGGUCUCCUCCCAAAGCGUAACGGAGGAGCACGAAGGUUAGCUAAUCCUGGUCGGACAUCAGGAGGUUAGUGCAAUGGCAUAAGCUAGCUUGACUGCGAGCGUGACGGCGCGAGCAGGUGCGAAAGCAGGUCAUAGUGAUCCGGUGGUUCUGAAUGGAAGGGCCAUCGCUCAACGGAUAAAAGGUACUCCGGGGAUAACAGGCUGAUACCGCCCAAGAGUUCAUAUCGACGGCGGUGUUUGGCACCUCGAUGUCGGCUCAUCACAUCCUGGGGCUGAAGUAGGUCCCAAGGGUAUGGCUGUUCGCCAUUUAAAGUGGUACGCGAGCUGGGUUUAGAACGUCGUGAGACAGUUCGGUCCCUAUCUGCCGUGGGCGCUGGAGAAUUGAGGGGGGCUGCUCCUAGUACGAGAGGACCGGAGUGGACGCAUCACUGGUGUUCGGGUUGUCAUGCCAAUGGCACUGCCCGGUAGCUAAAUGCGGAAGAGAUAAGUGCUGAAAGCAUCUAAGCACGAAACUUGCCCCGAGAUGAGUUCUCCCUGAGACUUUAAGUCUCCUGAAGGAACGUUAAAGACGAUGACGUUGAUAGGCCGGGUGUGUAAGCGCAGCGAUGCGUUGAGCUAACCGGUACUAAUGAACCGUGAGGCUUAACCU